rnacentral:rRNA from 1 species
UUGGUGGGGUGAUGGCCUACCAAGGCGACGACGGGUAGCCGGCCUGAGAGGGCGACCGGCCACACUGGGACUGAGACACGGCCCAGACUCCUACGGGAGGCAGCAGUGGGGAAUAUUGCACAAUGGGCGGAAGCCUGAUGCAGCGACGCCGCGUGAGGGACGACGGCCUUCGGGUUGUAAACCUCUUUCACCCAUGACGAAGCGAGAGUGACGGUAGUGGGAGAAGAAGCGCCGGCCAACUACGUGCCAGCAGCCGCGGUAAGACGUAGGGCGCGAGCGUUGUCCGGAUUUAUUGGGCGUAAAGAGCUCGUAGGCGGCUUGUCGCGUCGAAUGUGAAAUCUCAGGGCUCAACUCUGACAUUGCAUUCGAUACGGGCAGGCUAGAGUUCGGUAGGGGAGACUGGAAUUCCUGGUGUAGCGGUGAAAUGCGCAGAUAUCAGGAGGAACACCGGUGGCGAAGGCGGGUCUCUGGGCCGAUACUGACGCUGAGGAGCGAAAGCGUGGGGAGCGAACAGGAUUAGAUACCCUGGUAGUCCACGCUGUAAACGUUGGGCGCUAGGUGUGGGGGGCCUCUCCGGUUCUCUGUGCCGCAGCUAACGCAUUAAGCGCCCCGCCUGGGGAGUACGG